CAGUGUCCCUAAUCCCACUGUAAAAGGUGACAGUGGCAUUCCGAGUUUGUAAUCAAUUUCUGACUUCAGUUCUCCUGGACAACUGACAAAUCCCUUCAUAAACUGUAGACCUAAGCCAGAUCUUGAAUGCUGAAAAACUCACCAAGGACAAUUCUCCCUAGGGACAACACUUGCCAUCUGCUGCUUCAGGGUGAAGUGGAAGAUCAAAUGAACUAAAGACUGAAAUCCCUUUAUGACUUUUAAAGUGCUACCCACUAGUGACUGACUACCACUGUUGUCAUCAUCAUCAUCAUACCAUCAUCAUCAUCACAAUGUCUACUGUUGUUAAGGAGAGAAGAAACUGUUGCAUGACUGGAUGCUAAAUCAAGGUUCUGUCCCCUCAGGACAAAGCUACCAGAAGACUGCCGUAAGUGCUGUUGCCACUCUCCGUAACAUCGUGAUUGCUACUUACGGAGCAGCCUGCUACACAGAAAAAGGGAUCAGAUGCCUUGACACCCGAAUUGCUGGGUAUCAAAUCUCUCCCAUUAUCUUUCCAAAGAACACAAUGUAUUUGCAGCUGGAAAGAGACAACCUGACUUGAAGCCAAAUCAUGCUGGCUUCAAGUUGCUGGAAUUGGCUCUUCAGAAGGUAAAUUUUCUAAAGCCACAGCACUCUGCUCCCUAUUCCCCAUCUAAUUGGAUCUGAAUUAGAACUGCACAUUCAGAAAACUCUUCUGUCACUUUUUGUCAAAGAUUUCUCUUUGAGUCGCUUGAAAUAUCUAUUAAAAACUUAGCCUAAAGCAGUGUCUUUUGAAUACCCACCUCAGUAAUUCAGUACUGGAACACUGUGAGCGUCCACCAACAUCAAAUGGAUAAAUUACUCAAAAGACAUUUUCCACCCUUAAAUAUAGUUCCAAGAAAGAAUAGGAAAUGCCUCAUACCUCUAAUGGAAGCUAUUUUCUACAAAAACAAAUCAUUCAGCUCCAUGGACCUAGAAAUGCCUUUUGCACAUAAAAUUGAAACGAAGAGACAGCAAAACAGCAGCUGAAGCCAUGAAGUCAUCACCCCCAAAGCACAUGAUUCAAAUAAAACUGAUAUACUCAUUGGAAAAAUGGGCUCUCCACACACACAGCAUUAUGGCUGAGCUAUAGUAGUUGUCAUCUUAUGUAUAAAAGAAAACAACCAAUAUUUUGUAUGAAUUUUCAAGAAAAUGAACUAUUUGUUCCUUCUUAGUAGCUAAUGUAAAUGUCAGAGGAAAUAGCAGUUUGAGUUCCAAU